rnacentral:rRNA from 1 species
GAUGAACGCUGGCGGCGUGCCUAAUACAUGCAAGUCGAGCGAACAGACGAGGAGCUUGCUCCUCUGACGUUAGCGGCGGACGGGUGAGUAACACGUGGAUAACCUACCUAUAAGACUGGGAUAACUUCGGGAAACCGGAGCUAAUACCGGAUAAUAUAUUGAACCGCAUGGUUCAAUAGUGAAAGACGGUUUUGCUGUCACUUAUAGAUGUAUCCGCGCCGCAUUAGCUAGUUGGUAAGGUAACGGCUUACCAAGGCAACGAUGCGUAGCCGACCUGAGAGGGUGAUCGGCCACACUGGAACGGAGACACGGUCCAGACUACUACGGGAGGCAGCAGUAGGGAAUGUUCCGCAAUGGGCGAAAGCAUGACGGAGCAACGCCGCGUGAGUGAUGAAGGUCUUCGGAUCGUAAAACUCUGUUAUUAGGGAAGAACAAAUGUGUAAGUAACUAUGCACGUCUUGACGGUACCUAAUCAGAAAGCCACGGCUAACUACGUG